rnacentral:rRNA from 1 species
CAGCAGCAGCCGCGGUAAUACGAAGGGUGCAAGCGUUAAUCGGAAUUACUGGGCGUAAAGCGUGCGUAGGCGGUGAGUUAAGUCUGCUGUGAAAUCCCCGGGCUCAACCUGGGAAUGGCAGUGGAUACUGGCUCGCUAGAGUGUGUCAGAGGAUGGUGGAAUUCCCGGUGUAGCGGUGAAAUGCGUAGAGAUCGGGAGGAACACCAGUGGCGAAGGCGGCCAUCUGGGACAACACUGACGCUGAGGCACGAAAGCGUGGGGAGCAAACAGGAUUAGAUACCCCAGUAGUCCCUGUCUCUUAUAC